AUUGUGCUUGCACAGAUGACGACCGGCGCACGGGUGCGUAACGCGUAUAGAACCUACCUUUUACAGAGGAAUAGCCUUUGGAAAUGAAGAUUAAUGCCUCAUAGUAUUGUAGACUGGCAUCAGUUUAUAAUUAAAGAUUUAUCGGUAAAAGAUGGCUAUGCGUCCUAUUAGUUAGUUGGUAAGGUAACGGCUUACCAAGACAGCGAUAGGUAGGGGUCCUGAGAGGGAGAUCCCCCACACUGGUACUGAGACACGGACCAGACUCCUACGGGAGGCAGCAGUGAGGAAUAUUGGACAAUGGAGGAGACUCUGAUCCAGCCAUGCCGCGUGUAGGAAGAAUGCCCUAUGGGUUGUAAACUACUUUUAUACAGGAAGAAACACUGGUAUGUAUACCAGCUUGACGGUACUGUAAGAAUAAGGACCGGCUAACUCCGUGCCAGCAGCCGCGGUAAUACGGAGGGUCCGAGCGUUAUCCGGAAUCAUUGGGUUUAAAGGGUCCGCAGGCGGUCGAUUAAGUCAGAGGUGAAAUCCCAUA
rnacentral:rRNA from 1 species